UACAGAGGUCUCAAGCGUUGUUCGGAUUCAUUGGGCGUAAAGGGUGCGUAGGUGGCGUCGUAAGUGGGGUGUGAAAUCCCCGGGGCUUAACCCCGGGACCGUGCAUUCCAUACUGCGGUGCUUGAGGACUGGAGAGGAGACUGGAAUUUACGGUGUAGCAGUGAAAUGCGUAGAGAUCGUAAGGAAGACCAGUGGCGAAGGCAGGACUCUGGGCAUUUUCUGACGCUGAUGCACGAAGGCCAGGGUAGCGAACGGG
rnacentral:rRNA from 1 species